rnacentral:tRNA from 1 species
GGAGAGGUGACCGAGCGGCCGAAGGUGCAGCACUGGAAAUGCUGUGUACCCCACGGGUACCGGGGGUUCGAAUCCCCCCCUCUCCGCCA